rnacentral:rRNA from 1 species
GACGGAGGAUGCAAGCGUUAUCCGGAAUGAUUGGGCGUAAAGCGUCCGCAGGUGGCAGUUCAAGUCUGCUGUCAAAGACCGGGGCUUAACUUCGGAAAGGCAGUGGAAACUGAACAGCUAGAGUAUGGUAGGGGCAGAGGGAAUUCCUGGUGUAGCGGUGAAAUGCGUAGAGAUCGGCAGGAACACCCAGGGGGAAACCAGUCGACUGGGCAGCACCUGACGCUGAGGUGCGAGAGCGUGGGGAGCGAACCGG